rnacentral:rRNA from 1 species
AUUGAACGCUGGCGGAAUGCUUUACACAUGCAAGUCGAGCGGCAGCACGGGGGCAACCCUGGUGGCGAGCGGCGAACGGGUGAGUAAUACAUCGGAACAUGCCCAGUCGUGGGGGAUAACACCUCGAAAGAAGUGCUAAUACCGCAGACGUCCUGAGGGGGAAAGCGGGGGAUCGCAAGACCUCGCGCGCUGGGAGGGGCGGACGUCAGAUUAGCCAGUUGGUGGGUGAGAGGCCUACCAAGGCAACGAUGGGUAGCUGGUCGGAGAGGGUGAGCGGCCACAUGGGGACUGAGAGACGGCCCAGACGGCUACGGGAGGCAGAAGGGGGGAAUAUUGCACAAUGGGCGGAAGCCGGAUGCAGCAACGCCGGGGGCGGGAUGACGGCCUGCGGGUUGGAAAACGCUUGCGGCUGAGACGAAGCGGGAGUGACGGUAAUGGGUAAAGAAGCACCGGCUAACUACGUG